rnacentral:rRNA from 1 species
UACGGGGGGGGCAAGCGUUGUUCGGAAUUACUGGGCGUAAAGGGCUCGUAGGCGGCCAACUAAGUCGGACGUGAAAUCCCCAGGCUCAACCUGGGAACUGCGUCCGAUACUGGAUGGCUUGAGUUUGGGAGAGGGAUGCGGAAUUCCAGGUGUAGCGGUGAAAUGCGUAGAUAUCUGGAGGAACACCGGUGGCGAAGGCGGCAUCCUGGACCAACACUGACGCUGAGUGAGCGAAAGCCAGGGGAGCAAACGGG